AGAUUCCGAUUUUCUCUCAAACAUAACUUCUCAUAAUGAUGUGUACUAUUUCAUCAAAUGUUCGAGUGAUAUUUAUGAUCAUUUUAAUGUUCGCAAUAAGUGCAUCAUUCAUCCCCAGUGACCUGGCAGGCGUCAGGCCCACAGGUAACAGACAGUCCGGAUAAACAGCAAGCUCUCCAAGACAACGCAAACAAUCUAGACAUGUUUGAUGCAUGAUUUAUUUUCUGACAAUUAAAGAACAACCAACUACGUCUAAGUUGGGAUUUCGAAACCCAGCUGAAAAAAACUGAAUUGCGAUGCGCUAAGUCGAUUCUUCGGUUUGUCACUGCUGUCACAUGGCCCACGCUUGAAACUAGAGGUGUGUUUCACUAAUAUAAAGGCACAAAGCACAAAACGUUUGUUUUAAUAAGGAGUUGCUUGACGCGAGCUCAAGGUGCGAAGUUGAGAUGAAAAGUGAGACUCAUCUCAUCGUUCGGGUCCUGUCUGCACAUGCCAAUUCAUUCUCCUGAUACCGAUCACAGGACGUCGUGCACAUAUUGACACCAUCUUAACGUUAUACAACAUUAAAAUUCUGUGAUUUAAACAUCAUUCCCGACAUCGGGAUUAGGAAAAUGGUUAAAAUUUCGAAAUCCCAAUCAUAUUGGAAUACCCAAAUAAAACUCGAAAAUAUUCUGUUAAUAAAUACAACACUCCACUUGUUGAACAAAGUGUAGAUAGUGUGAUAUGAUCAAAGUUGAGUGUUUUUGCAUGGUGUGACA